rfam:Saccharomonospora xinjiangensis XJ-54 genomic scaffold Sacxiscaffold_2, whole genome shotgun sequence.
GCCGGUCCUCGGUAGUGGCCGCCGGGACAGUCCAGGCAGUCCCGCCGGCUUCGAUCGAUGACCGGC